UACGGUGAAUACGUUCCCGGACCUUGUACACACCGCCCGUCAAGCCAUGGAAGCCGGGUGUACCUAAAGUCGAUAACCGUAAGGAGUCGCCUAGGGUAAAACUGGUGACUGGGGCG
rnacentral:rRNA from 1 species